rnacentral:rRNA from 1 species
AAAUAGUCUCAGUUCGGAUUGAAGUCUGCAACUCGACUUCAUGAAGUUGGAAUCGCUAGUAAUCGCGAAUCAGCAUGUCGCGGUGAAUACGUUCUCGGGGUUUGUACACACCGCCCGUCAAACCACGAAAGUGGACAAUACCCGAAAGCGACAGCCUAACUGCGUAAGCAGAGGGAAUCGUCUAAGGUAGGGUCGAUGAUUGGGGUUAAGUCGUAACAAGGUAUCCCUACCGGAAGGUGGGGAUGGAUCACCUCCUUUCU